CUCCAAAUAAGAUCAAUGCCAGGAAACCAGCAGAAUGAAUCUGCCUUCCCAGCACUGCUCAGGUGCCUGUGGACCCCGGCAGAAAAGCAUCCAGAGAACGUCUGCCCCGGCCCCAGAGCAUAAGCUCCAAGAAAGCAGGGCCUUGGUCCAUGGUGAUUUCUGUACCGACACAGCAUCUGCACAGAACAGGGUCUAUAAGAGGCCAAGAGAAGGUGUUCUUAUCCACCAGGGAUCUGGGUAGCUCUCCUCUUCCCAGCGUGGCCUGUUGGGGCAGAGCAAGCUGUGUCCCUGAAGAUUGCCCUCCAGCUUCUAGGCUGGAGAGCAUGGCACCAUCGUGGCACUGAUUUGCGGGAAUGCUGGCAAAGUUAUGGAAGACUUUUUGACAUUCAUGGAGGAGAUUUACUUUUUGUGCGAGCAAUGCCAUAGGGUACAGACAGCCACGGAAGAAGCACUCACUUCUGAGGUAGCUGUAAAAAUGGCCACGGUUCUUCCCAUCCCAGUAUGUACGCACCCAUGCAAUGUGACGUUGGAGGUUCUUCCAUGCAAAGGUGAAGUCUGUUUCUCUACCGUUUGAAUCUGGGAUUGGCCACGUGUCUGGCUUUGGCCACACAGGCAUUAACAAACUUGUGCACGGUGACUUGCCCUCUUACUACUUUUGGAAAUAUGCACUUACUCUCAUGUGUGUGAGCCCCAAACAGCCUGUGAGAAGAUGAGACCA